GAUGAACGCUGGCGGCGUGCCUAAUACAUGCAAGUCGAGCGAACAGACGAGGAGCUUGCUCCUCUGACGUUAGCGGCGGACGGGUGAGUAACACGUGGAUAACCUACCUAUAAGACUGGGAUAACUUCGGGAAACCGGAGCUAAUACCGGAUAAUAUAUUGAACCGCAUGGUUCAAUAGUGAAAGACGGUUUUGCUGUCACUUAUAGAUGGAUCCGCGCCGCAUUAGCUAGUUGGUAAGGUAACGGCUUACCAAGCCAACGAUGCGUAGCCGACCUGAGAGGGUGAUCGGCCACACUGGAACUGAGACACGGUCCAGACUCCUACGGGAGGCAGCAGUAGGGAAUCUUCCGCAAUGGGCGAAAGCCUGACGGAGCAACGCCGCGUGAGUGAUGAAGGUCUUCGGAUCGUAAAACUCUGUUAUUAGGGAAGAACAAAUGUGUAAGUAACUAUGCACGUCUUGACGGUACCUAAUCAGAAAGCCACGGCUAACUACGUG
rnacentral:rRNA from 1 species